UCUUGGGAGGAAAAUUGUGGGUGGGAAUGCCCCGAUGAUGGAUUCUCUAAUCAUGUGUAUGUUACCCAAGUUAACUUCCAUCCUGCCAUCAAGCUGGGAUUUGGUGCCUGUGGAAAUAUUAAGAGUAUCUGGAGCCACCUCCUCAAAAUCAUGAUGCUUCUUUUGCCUCUUAAAAUAAUCUACAGAAAUGGCAAUGAAAAUGAGAGUAGAUGCAUAAAGAGAAAAAGUUCUGGCGAGAGUUCCAGGUACCUUACAUGGAAGCAGCUGGGUAAACAGUGAUUUUGAGGCAUUAACACAUCAUAUUUGUACAGCAAUGAGAGUUUUGAAAAACAUUCAUCCUUCACACUCAAAGUGAAGCCAGACAUAACAUUUACUAAAAAGCAAGAGUCUAGUACAGUGUUGGAGAUGCAUCCUGCCUCGCCCAAAUUUCCAAAUGUUUGCUCCACUAUUCUUUACAAACAUCUCAAGGAAACUUCAACAACUUUUCAGCUUGUUUAAUGUUAAUGAAAGUGAAUAUCCCAAUGUUCUGAAAAAAGCAAAAACUGUCUUUCCAGCUGCUUGGCCUGAUGGAAGUAUAAAGGCGGGGAAGUGUUUCCAUAAGACCUGGAAGACAAGACAUAAUGUGGGGACACAAAGGCAGAUGAAGACUUAUUGCUCAUUCUUCUUUUUUCCACUUCCUGAAAUAGACAGUCCUUCCCUCCUGAUCCAAACCCGAUUCAUUGUGUCAUAUCUAACUAAAAUGGCACCUUUCCUAAGAGUGCUUGUUCUUUGUGACUCCAGGACGUUCUAUCAGCCAUUGUUGUGGAUACCCUUCCCCACACAUUUUAGAGCUCCAAGUACAGCACAGUGAUGGCAUUUCAUGCUCCUUGGAACCUGUGAGGUGGGUGCCACAUCGUCUUCACUUUUUGGAUGUGAAAGCUGAAGCUCAGAGGUCCUGUCACCAGUCUAUGUGUCAAGGUCAUACACAUCAGUUAGUGAACAGCCAGGGUCUGCAGCCUCACUGUCCAGCUUCGGGGGGCUCCACGCGGAAACUCCCUGCAGUUCUCUGUUCUCCGCGGUAACCUCACUCGUGGAUUCCUUUAAGGCCUAUUCUUUUAUCUUCAACUAAACCAUGAAUCCCUUGAUGACAGCUUUUGUCUUGUACUUUUUUUUACAUCUGGAUAGCCACUUCACAAAAGAAUACCUGCAGGAGUCUAUCAUACGUGCACUGAUUGAGAUGGAUCAUGUGAGGAUAUGUAAAACCAGAGACUCAAAAAAUAGCAAACUGAACAUUUAGAUAAGGAAUCAAGGUGAAGAUGGAUAAACAUGCAAGUUUGAAAGAAAGCAGGAACAAGGCAAUCCAACUUGUAUUUUCUGUAAGCUGGCGGCAGAACAUUUAACUGCCAGCUCCUGACAAGGUUUGGAAAACUCAUCAGUGGGAAAGCAGCCAAAACACUGCUCAAGCAUGGGUGGUCACCAGCAGCAAAGGAGGGAAAGCAAGCCAGAAAGAAAGAAGGAAAGAGAGAGUUUUUAUAUAAGUGCUUUCCCAUGAUGUUCUAGCUAUGUGCUUUACUAAAGCAGUGUAACUGUCACCAUCCUGCUGAAAGCUCAAAUUAAGGUGAUGCAAUGAGGAAGCAUUUCAUAUUAAUAACGGCA
rnacentral:lncRNA from 1 species